GAUGAACGCUGGCGGCGUGCCUAACACAUGCCAGUCGAGCGGCAGCGAGGGGUGCUUGCACCCUGUCGGCGAGCGGCGGACGGCUGAGUAACGCGUGGGAACGUGCCCCAAAGUGAGGAAUAACUGCCCGAAAGGGUAGCUAAUACCGCAUAUUAUCUUCGGAUCAAAGGAUUUAUCCGCUUUGGGAGCGGCUCGCGUCGGAUUAGGUAGUUGGUGAGGUAAUGGCCCACCAAGCCGACGAUCCGUAGCUGGUCUGAGAGGAUGACCAGCCAGACUGGAACUGAGACACGGUCCAGACUCCUACGGGAGGCAGCAGUGAGGAAUCUUCCACAAUGGGCGAAAGCCUGAUGGAGCAACGCCGCGUGCAGGAAGAAGGCCUUCGGGUUGUAAACUGCUUUUAUAAGUGAGGAAUAUGACGGUAACUUAUGAAUAAGGAUCGGCUAACUACGUG
rnacentral:rRNA from 1 species